GAUCCUGGCUCAGGAUGAACGCUAGCUACAGGCCUAACACAUGCAAGUCGAGGGGCAGCAUGGUCUUAGCUUGCUAAGGCCGAUGGCGACCGGCGCACGGGUGAGUAACACGUAUCCAACCUGCCGUCUACUCUUGGACAGCCUUCUGAAAGGAAGAUUAAUACAAGAUGGCAUCAUGAGUUCACAUGUUCACAUGAUUAAAGGUAUUCCGGUAGACGGUGGGGAUGCG
rnacentral:rRNA from 1 species